rnacentral:rRNA from 1 species
UUGUCUCAAAGAUUAAGCCAUGCAUGUCUCAGUACGAGCCGAAUUAAGGUGAAACCGCGAAAGGCUCAUUAAAUCAGUUAUGGUUCCUUAGAUCGUACCCACACUUACUUGGAUAACUGUGGUAAUUCUAGAGCUAAUACAUGCAAACAGAGCUCCGACCGGAGACGGAAGGAGCGCUUUUAUUAGAUCAAAACCAAACGGCGGCGGGUUCGCGCCCGUCGUCGUGAACUUUGGUGACUCUGAAUAACUUAUUGCCGAUCGCACGGUCUAGCACCGGCGACGCAUCUUUCAAAUGUCUGCCUUAUCAACUGUCGAUGGUAGGUUCUGCGCCUACCAUGGUCGUAACGGGUAACGGGGAAUCAGGGUUCGAUUCCGGAGAGGGAGCCUGAGAAACGGCUACCACAUCCAAGGAAGGCAGCAGGCGCGCAAAUUACCCACUCCCGGCACGGGGAGGUAGUGACGAAAAAUAACGAUACGGGACUCAUCCGAGGCCCCGUAAUCGGAAUGAGUACACUYUAAAUCCUUUAACGAGGAUCAAUUGGAGGGCAAGUCUGGUGCCAGCAGCCGCGGUAAUUCCAGCUCCAAUAGCGUAUAUUAAAGUUGUUGCGGUUAAAAAGCUCGUAGUCGAAUUUGUGUUCCGCGCCGCCGGUACAUCGCUCGCGGUGUUUAACUGGCGUGUCCGCGGAACGUCCUGCCGGUGGGCUUAGCUUCUCUUUGGGGAGCGGCCCAACUUAAAAUCCCGCCGCGGUGCUCUUCACUGAGUGUCGAGGUGGGCCGGCACGUUUACUUUGAACAAAUUAGAGUGCUUAAAGCAGGCUAAAAUUUCGCCUGAAUACUGUGUGCAUGGAAUAAUGGAAUAGGACCUCGGUUCUAUUUUGUUGGUUUUCGGAACCCCGAGGUAAUGAUUAAUAGGAACGGAUGGGGGCAUUCGUAUUGCGACGUUAGAGGUGAAAUUCUUGGAUCGUCGCAAGACGGACRGAAGCGAAAGCAUUUGCCAAAAACGCUUUCAUUGAUCAAGAACGAAAGUUAGAGGUUCGAAGGCGAUCAGAUACCGCCCUAGUUCUAACCAUAAACGAUGCCAGCUAGCGAUCCGCCGACGUUCCUCCGAUGACUCGGCGGGCAGCUUCCGGGAAACCAAAGCUUUUGGGUUCCGGGGGAAGUAUGGUUGCAAAGCUGAAACUUAAAGGAAUUGACGGAAGGGCACCACCAGGAGUGGAGCCUGCGGCUUAAUUUGACUCAACACGGGAAACCUCACCAGGCCCGGACACCGGAAGGAUUGACAGAUUGAGAGCUCUUUCUUGAUUCGGUGGGUGGUGGUGCAUGGCCGUUCUUAGUUGGUGGAGCGAUUUGUCUGGUUAAUUCCGAUAACGAACGAGACUCUAGCCUGCUAACUAGGCGUACUUUCGACAUCUCAAAGGCCCGCCGGCCCGGCGUCCGCGUCGCGGUCGUGCGCGGUUUUUACUGUCGGCGUACAAAUUAUUCUUCUUAGAGGGACAGGCGGCUUCUAGCCGCACGAGAUUGAGCAAUAACAGGUCUGUGAUGCCCUUAGAUGUUCUGGGCCGCACGCGCGCUACACUGAAGGAAUCAGCGUGUCUUCCCUGGCCGAGCGGCCCGGGUAACCCGCUGAACCUCCUUCGUGCUAGGGAUCGGGGCUUGCAAUUCUUCCCCGUGAACGAGGAAUUCCCAGUAAGCGCGAGUCAUAAGCUCGCGUUGAUUACGUCCCUGCCCUUUGUACACACCGCCCGUCGCUACUACCGAUUGAAUGAUUUAGUGAGGUCUUCGGACCGGUACGCGGUGGCGUUUCGACGUCGCCGAUGUUGCUGGGAAGAUGACCAAACUUGAUCAUUU